rfam:Candidatus Nomurabacteria bacterium GWB1_40_6 gwb1_scaffold_9197, whole genome shotgun sequence.
GGAGGAGUCGCAUAGUUGGUCUAGUGCGCCCGUCUUGAAAACGGGUACGCCGCAAGGUGUCGAGAGUUCGAAUCUCUCCUCCUCCG